rnacentral:rRNA from 1 species
UACAGAGGGUGCGAGCGUUAAUCGGAAUUACUGGGCGUAAAGCGCGCGUAGGCGGCUUUGCAAGUCGGGUGUGAAAUCCCCCAGGCUUAACCUGGGAACUGCAUUCGAGACUGCAUUGCUAGAGUAUGGGAGAGGGAAGUGGAAUUUCCGGUGUAGCGGUGAAAUGCGUAGAUAUCGGAAGGAAUACCAGUGGCGAAGGCGGCCUCUGGACUGACACUGACGCUGAGGCGCGAAAGCUAGGGGAGCAAACGGG